UUGCAUGGGAUUAGACAUUGGACCCUGAGUCACUGGGUGAUUAACUUCGCUGUCUCUGAUUUGGUGCCUGAGCUGAUGGGUGAUUUCAGUGAACACAUCCUCGCCGUUUUUUGUAGGGUAACCCACGGGUCGUUCGAAUGUACGGUGAGAUAAAUCCAUGGAUAUCUAUACCUGUACGCAUACAUAUGCCUAAUGUAGGUACUCAAAUAUCCAUGCCGGAUCGUUGGGAUGUAGGGACGGGCGGCAGUUGGCAGUUAGAAUACGUCUUGGGAUCGAAGAUGUUGCAUAUAAAAAUUACAU
rnacentral:sRNA from 1 species